UACAGUGGCAGAGCGACGCACAGUGGCUGAAAGUGGUACUAAAGCUUCACGCAGCUUCACGCCUCGUAAUGCGCGACUGAAGUGGCCAUUUGAAAGCGAUGCCCAAUGUACCUACAGGAAGAUGUACUACCACAUUUAGCCCGGCUUUCUAGAAUUUUCCGAAAAGAGACGGUCAACUUCCUGACCAUCAAAGAGCAGGAUCCAGUUACCAUGGCAUGCCUGAAGCAACUGACUUCAUCAGGAUCCAGUUACUAUACAUGCCUGAAGCAACUGACCUUAUCAGGAUCCAGUUACUAUGGCAUGCCGGAAGCAACUGAUCUAAUCAGGAUCCAAUUACUAUGGCAUGCCAGAAGCAACUGACCUAAUCAGGAUCCAGUUACUAUGGCAUGCCGGAAGAUGCACAGCCCCCUAGCUCAUUCUUGGCCCAACUGCAUAGUGACCUUGACAACCCUGCAGGAUUGGGUGCAUUUAACAUCAUUGAUGAGGAGGAGAGGGAGAGGAGAGGUAGAGGCCAGGAGAAUCCCACAUGGGAGGUUAUUUGGUCCCGGUAAAGGACACAUUUGUUUUGAGUGUAAUGGAACCUUAUAUUGAUGGCCUCCAGGUCAAUCUUGAUAGAAGGUUCCAAAACCUCAAUAUCAUGGGAGCAUUUCACAUGCUGGUGCCCCAAGCAGUCAACUUGGAAAACAUCAAGACCCUGUCCACCAAACUCCUGCAGCAACCAGACAGUCAUGCACUGCAAGAAUGGUCAUCUUUUAGGCAGCAUAUGCUGACUGGGUCAUUCAAGGAUAUGGACCAGCUUACCAGAAUGAGCAAACUGGCAUCUAACCUCGAUGAGUGGUGUCAAAUCUACCCCUCCCUGAGUAAACUGGCAUCACUGACCAACGAAGACGUGUUUACAUAACCGAGCGAGUUGAGCAUGGUUAGCGUGCGUCAGCGGUCCAAAGUGUGGCUUCACUUUUCUAAACAGAAUCUCGGCAAAAUGCAACACUUGCGACAAGAUUGUUUCAUGCAUAGGAGGGUGCACGUCGAACAUGAUAAAGCACCUCCUCCGAGUUCAUGGAGUAUAAAUAAAUGUGUGCCCCGUCUUCACACAGGACCACUACCUCACCAUGACCGCACACUACAUAGAGGAGGGCAAAAUGCAGCAAAAAGUGCUAAAAACAAAGGCUGUGUACAAAGCACAGACCGGUUGUGUUGUUGCAGAGGAAAUCAGUGACGUUCUGUGACUGUUCUGUCAGAGUUUGGCAUGUCUGAUAAAAUUGUAGCAGUCACUGUAGAUAAUGCUGCCAACAUGGAUGUGGCUAUUGAGCGCCUGCGAUUUGUGAAACUGUGCUGUUUCGCCCACACACUUAAUGUAGCAGCACAAAGUCUAUACUCCCUAAAUUCAGUGUCAGUGGGUGGCCAAGGUCCGAACCAUUGUUGUGUGGAUGAAGAGAUGCUCGAUGGCCAAGGUGGUUCUCGGAGAGAAGCAAGAGCUUCUACAUAAGACACACAAAGUUGACUUUAUUUAAUUGUUGUGCAUUGACACAUAAUGACUUUAUAUGUCUGAUCUAUCUUAUUAUUUAUGAGCUCUGCAGAGUAGUACUACAGUAUUUGAAUCCAAUUUUACAAAAGUAUUGUUUGUCUCCUAGAAUGAAAAGCAUCUGUUACAUAACUUAAAAUUGAAGUUCUUGUUUUUAUCAGAGCUGCCCUGACACUCACUCCUACUUGAUGUGAACACGUUGGAACUCUCUGUACCUAAUGCAGGAGAGAUUCACAGAGCAGUACCCUGCAAUUCUAGCAGCCAGCUUGGAUCAACGGCUGAGAUCACUGAUAUGGAUAGAGACAGGUAGAGAUAGAUAGACAAGGAAACCUGAUGAAGGUGCUCUACACCUCAACACUCUACACCUAUUCUCUGAAAAAAGAGUCCCACAUGUGGACAGAUUCUGCCUACCCUCAAAACGCUUGAGGCACACCUGGCUGUAAAAGAGGGAGACACAGUCUUUGUGUCAAACCUUAAAAAACAGGUUUGGGCAAACCUAUCCAAGCGCUACCAGAAUGAUGAGAUCAGGAACUUUCUCCAAGUGGCCACUGUGUUGCAACCACGAUUUAAACAUAAAUUGGAUGAUGACGACACCAUCUGGGACCAGAUUCAGAGAAAGUUGAUUGAACAGACUGUGGAGUUGAUGGGGACAACAUGGAGUCUGAGAAUGAGGAUGAGCAGGAGACAACAGCCUCCCUGCAAACUGCCCAGGAAGACUCCACUAGAGGAGCUGUUCACUGAGGAAGAGGCACAGAACAUAGUGUCACGUGUCACAUCAGAGCUCCAUGUCCAUCAAGAAAUGAGUGGAGAGAGAGCUGAAGACUGCCCAGGAAGUUGCACCAGUCCUUAUAUCUAGGGACCAUGCUGCAUGGUGGUGGAACCAACAAAAGAACUAUCCUUAUCCUGUCAAAUCUCCCUUUCUCCUAUUUAUGCGUUCAAGCUUCUUCUACACCCAGCAAACAUGUGUUCUCCACAGCAGGAGACGCUAUCUGUCCAGAGCGCUCACACAUUCCGCCUGAGAAGGCAGAUAUGAUCAUUUCCCUAAACAAGAACUGUUUCUGAUUUUACACUGUACCUGCUGCUAAUCUGGACUGGCUUUUACACGUUGUUUCUUAUUGUUUAUUUGCUAUUCUGCACCAGGUUAGCCCAUCAGUGGGAGCAUGGUAAUGUUUAAGU